rnacentral:rRNA from 1 species
CCGAUAGGAUAUCAAGAUCGCAUGAUCUGAUAUUUAAAGAAUUUCGGUUAUCGAUGGGGAUGCGUUCCAUUAGUUAGUUGGCGGGGUAACGGCCCACCAAGACGACGAUGGAUAGGGGUUCUGAGAGGAAGGUCCCCCACAUUGGAACUGAGACACGGUCCAAACUCCUACGGGAGGCAGCAGUGAGGAAUAUUGGUCAAUGGACGAGAGUCUGAACCAGCCAAGUAGCGUGAAGGAUGACUGCCCUAUGGGUUGUAAACUUCUUUUAUAUGGGAAUAAAACAGGGUAUGCAUACCCUCUUGUAUGUACCAUAUGAAUAAGGAUCGGCUAACUCCGUGCCAGCAGCCGCGGUAAUACGGAGGAUCCGAGCGUUAUCCGGAUUUAUUGGGUUUAAAGGGAGCGUAGGUGGAUUGUUAAGUCAGUUGUGAAAGUUUGCGGCUCAACCGUAAAAUUGCAGUUGAAACUGGCAGUCUUGAGUACAGUAGAGGUGGGCGGAAUUCGUGGUGUAGCGGUGAAAUGCUUAGAUAUCACGAAGAACUCCGAUUGCGAAGGCAGCUCACUGGACUGCAACUGACACUGAUGCUCGAAGGUGUGGGUAUCAAACAGGAUUAGAUACCCUGGUAGUCCACACAGUAAACGAUGAAUACUC